UACGUAGGGUGCGAGCGUUAAUCGGAAUUACUGGGCGUAAAGCGUGCGCAGGCGGUUUUGUAAGCCAGAUGUGAAAGCCCCGGGCUUAACCUGGGAAUGGCAUUUGGGACUGCAAGGCUUGAGUGCGGCAGAGGAGACUGGAAUUCCUGGUGUAGCAGUGAAAUGCGUAGAUAUCAGGAGGAAUACCGAUGGCGAAGGCAGGUCUCUGGGCAUGUCCUGACGCUGAGGAGCGAAAGUGUGGGGAGCGAACAGG
rnacentral:rRNA from 1 species